GACGAACGCUGGCGGCGUGCCUAAUACAUGCAAGUAGAACGCUGAAGAGAGGAGCUUGCUCUUCUUGGAUGAGUUGCGAACGGGUGAGUAACGCGUAGGUAACCUGCCUGGUAGCGGGGGAUAACUAUUGGAAACGAUAGCUAAUACCGCAUGAUAUUAAUUGUCGCAUGAUAAUUAAUUGAAGGAUGCAAUUGCAUCACUACCAGAUGGACCUGCGUUGUAUUAGCUAGUUGGUGAGGUAACGGCUCACCAAGGCGACGAUACAUAGCCGACCUGAGAGGGUGAUCGGCCACACUGGGACUGAGACACGGCCCAGACUCCUACGGGAGGCAGCAGUAGGGAAUCUUCGGCAAUGGGGGGAACCCUGACCGAGCAACGCCGCGUGAGUGAAGAAGGUUUUCGGAUCGUAAAGCUCUGUUGUAAGAGAAGAACAGGUGUGAGAGUGGAAAGUUCACACUGA
rnacentral:rRNA from 1 species